UACAGAGGGUGCAAGCGUUGUUCGGAAUUAUUGGGCGUAAAGAGCGCGUAGGCGGCUAGGUAAGUCCGACGUGAAAUCUGGAGGCUCAACCUCCAGCGGUCGUUGGAAACUACUUGGCUAGAGUCCGGAAGAGGAGAGUGGAAUUCCUGGUGUAGCGGUGAAAUGCGCAGAUAUCAGGAAGAACACCGAUGGCGAAAGCAGCUCUCUGGGACGGUACUGACGCUGAGGCGCGAAAGCUAGGGUAGCAAACAGG
rnacentral:rRNA from 1 species